UUCAAAAUUUAUUUAUUUCGGAAUAAAUUGGGCCUAAGUGAUUGUUAGGCAUUUAAGAGUAUUUUGUACCAGAUUCUUCGGCCCAUUAUACAAUUAUCAUUUUUCUUUCUUUCUUUGAGCUCACGCCUUCUACAGUGGUGAACCAACCAGAUAUUCAUAUUUCACUCUUACUUUGUUUUUAUUGAAAGAAGAAGAUGCAUCCACUCAGCUCGUUUUCACCUAUUUAACACCCCACUCAUUCAACUUCUUCAACCACAAAUUAGCUAAUCACCAACGAGAAUUAAUUCUCCUUCCAACCAAUUCAAUUCAGUUCAUCCCAUUCCCCAUCAAACUUCUAUCUCUCAAAUCUCAAUUUCAAGAACUCUCACAAUCGCUCAAGAAUACCUACAAGUAUUUAUAAUCUACAAAAUCAACAGUUCUUCCACAGCCCAUUCUCGGCCAUAAAUUCAAGAAACCGAAAUUUACUUUCACAGAGGUCCUACAGAAGAGGAUAUUUAGGCUCUUGAUCAGUUGAGUUAUAUUGUUUAGAUUUUCUCCAAAUCAGGUGAGGCUUUAUUUACGAAAUGCAUGUUUGAGCUAAUAAGCUCGGUUUUAUGUAAAGUUAAAGUUGAUGGUUCAUGCUUAAAAUGUUUUUGCUCUCUAUUGGUUAUUGUUUCUACCAGAACAUUGUUGGCUCCGCCAACUAGAAUUGUGUACGUACACCAGAACCUGUUGUCUCGAGAGAUUCGGUGACAACCAGUUGCAGAUAGCACGCCCAAUAGAUGAGACAGGAAAAUAUGAGCUCAGAUUAUUUUAGUAUGCAUGGAAUGACUCAUUUUAAAAACAUUCUGUGUUAUACUGUUUAAAGGCAUGAAUUAUCUUUUUCAGUAAAUGUUUUUUUAAAAUAUUUUUAAAUGGCCCAAUCCACUGAGUACACUAGUAUUCAGCCCUGCAAAUGUUUUCAAAACCUUUUGCAGAUUGAGCAGCUGGUGGUGACGUGCGAGGCUGAGGAAGAGUUGUUGCUGUGGAUUUUGAAGAAAUACUGUGUUUACUUCCGCUGAAAUAAAUUCACUUAGUGAAUAUUAUAUGAUGCCUAACUAUGUUAAUACUUUUAUUCAUAUUUUUAAUUUGAA